rnacentral:misc_RNA from 1 species
UUAAGUUCAGCGGGUAUUCCUACCUGAUUCGAGGUCAAUUUUCAGAAAGUUGGGGGUUUUACGGCAAGAAGUCCCACUAGUCUUUAAAAACGAGGUAAAAUUACUACGCUCAAAAUUCUAGCGAGCCCGCCACUAAAUUUCAGAGGGUACCCGUUUUACUGGGUAUUCCUCCAACACCAAAGCAAGCUUUGAGGGUUGAA